CAGCCGCCACGGGAAUACGUAGGUGGCAAGCGUUGUCCGGAAUUAUUGGGCGUAAAGGGCUCGCAGGCGGUUUCUUAAGUCUGAUGUGAAAGCCCCCGGCUCAACCGGGGAGGGUCAUUGGAAACUGGGAAACUUGAGUGCAGAAGAGGAGAGUGGAAUUCCACGUGUAGCGGUGAAAUGCGUAGAGAUGUGGAGGAACACCAGUGGCGAAGGCGACUCUCUGGUCUGUAACUGACGCUGAGGAGCGAAAGCGUGGGGAGCGAACAGGAUUAGAUACCCGCGUAGUCCCUGUCUCUUAUAC
rnacentral:rRNA from 1 species